rnacentral:rRNA from 1 species
AUUGAACGCUGGCGGCAGGCCUAACACAUGCAAGUCGAGCGGUAACAUUGAUAGCUUGCUAUCAGAUGACGAGCGGCGGACGGGUGAGUAAUGCUUAGGAAAUCUGCCUGAUAGGAGGGGGACACCACGGGAAACUGUAGCUAAUACCGCAUAAUCUAUUCGUAGACAAAGGUGGGGGACCUUCGGGCCUCACGCUAUCAGAU